AUAUAAAGACGGUAUUUGUUGUGGAAGAUCAAAUUAUUGUUGCCCUAGAGAAUUUCCAAUUUGCGAUCCAUUUGAAGGGCUUUGCUUCAAGAGACAUGGAGACCAUAUUGGAGUGCCUGGACGGAAGAGAAAACUUGCCAAGCCUAAAUAGUCAAAAGCAACACCGAAAAUGGAAGAAGAAUGAACUAGUUUGCUGCGUAUCGAUGGUCAUGUAAUUAUUAUGGACUCUCAAUUGCCCUCAAGUUGUUUGAUCCACAUAAAUAAGCCAAGAUACUUGUGCAUUUUGGAGUAUUAUUCAAAUCAUAUCUGGCAAGCGAGAUUGUUCAUUGUUUAUAAUUUUGUUUGGCAAGCUAGAGGGAAAAGAUUGUUCAUUAUUUAUUAUUCAAUAACUUUAAUUUUUGCCAUGAA